GGGUUGUGAGGUUAAGCGACUAAGCGUACACGGUGGAUGCCUAGGCAGUCAGAGGCGAUGAAGGGCGUGCUAAUCUGCGAUAAGCGUCGGUAAGGUGAUAUGAACCGUUAUACCCGACGAUACCCGAAUGGGGAAACCCAGUGUGUUUCGACACACUAUCAUGACAUGAAUACAUAGUGUCAUGAGGCGAACCGGGGGAACUGAAACAUCUCAGUACCCCGAGGAAAAGAAAUCAACCGAGAUUCCCCCAGUAGCGGCGAGCGAACGGGGAAGAGCCCAGAACCUGAAUCAGUUUGUGUGUUAGUGGAAGCGUCUGGAAAGUCGCACAGUAAAGGGUGAUAGUCCCGUACACAAAAAUGCACAAGUUGUGAGUUCGAUGAGUAGGGCGGGACACGUGACAUCCUGUCUGAAUAUGGGGGGACCAUCCUCCAAGGCUAAAUACUCCUGACUGACCGAUAGUGAACCAGUACCGUGAGGGAAAGGCGAAAAGAACCCCGGCGAGGGGAGUGAAAUAGAACCUGAAACCGUGUACGUACAAGCAGUGGGAGCCUACGUGUUAGGUGACUGCGUACCUUUUGUAUAAUGGGUCAGCGACUUAUAUUCUGUAGCAAGGUUAACCGAAUAGGGGAGCCGCAGGGAAACCGAGUCUUAACUGGGCGUUAAGUUGCAGGGUAUAGACCCGAAACCCGGUGAUCUAGCCAUGGGCAGGUUGAAGGUUGGGUAACACUAACUGGAGGACCGAACCGACUAAUGUUGAAAAAUUAGCGGAUGACUUGUGGCUGGGGGUGAAAGGCCAAUCAAACCGGGAGAUAGCUGGUUCUCCCCGAAAGCUAUUUAGGUAGCGCCUCGUGAAUUCAUCUUCGGGGGUAGAGCACUGUUUCGGCUAGGGGGUCAUCCCGACUUACCAACCCGAUGCAAACUACGAAUACCGAAGAAUGUUAUCACGGGAGACACACGGCGGGUGCUAACGUUCGUCGUGAAGAGGGAAACAACCCAGACCGCCAGCUAAGGUCCCAAAGUCAUGGUUAAGUGGGAAACGAUGUGGGAAGGCAUAGACAGCCAGGAUGUUGGCUUAGAAGCAGCCAUCAUUUAAAGAAAGCGUAAUAGCUCACUGGUCGAGUCGGCCUGCGCGGAAGAUGUAACGGGGCUAAACCAUGCACCGAAGCUGCGGCAGCGACGCUUAGGCGUUGUUGGGUAGGGGAGCGUUCUGUAAGCCUGCGAAGGUGGCCUGUGAGGGUUGCUGGAGGUAUCAGAAGUGCGAAUGCUGACAUAAGUAACGAUAAUGCGGGUGAAAAACCCGCACGCCGGAAGACCAAGGGUUCCUGUCCAACGUUAAUCGGGGCAGGGUGAGUCGACCCCUAAGGCGAGGCUGAAAAGCGUAGUCGAUGGGAAACAGGUUAAUAUUCCUGUACUGGGUGUGACUGCGAAGGGGGGACGGAGAAAGCUAGGUUAUCCGGGCGACGGUUGUCCCGGUUUAAGCGUGAAGGUGGAUGACUUUGGAAAAUCCGGGUCAUUGUUAACACUGAGGCGUGAUGACGAGUCACUACGGUGAUGAAGUAACCAAUGCUACGCUUCCAGGAAAAGCCUCUAAGCUCCAGGUCACAUCGAAUCGUACCCCAAACCGACACAGGUGGUCAGGUAGAGAAUACUCAGGCGCUUGAGAGAACUCGGGUGAAGGAACUAGGCAAAAUGGUGCCGUAACUUCGGGAGAAGGCACGCUGGUGUGUAGGUGAAGUGACUUGCUCACGGAGCUGAAACCAGUCGAAGAUACCAGCUGGCUGCAACUGUUUAAUAAAAACACAGCACUGUGCAAACACGAAAGUGGACGUAUACGGUGUGACGCCUGCCCGGUGCCGGAAGGUUAAUUGAUGGGGUUAUCCGCAAGGAGAAGCUCUUGAUCGAAGCCCCGGUAAACGGCGGCCGUAACUAUAACGGUCCUAAGGUAGCGAAAUUCCUUGUCGGGUAAGUUCCGACCUGCACGAAUGGCGUAAUGAUGGCCAGGCUGUCUCCACCCGAGACUCAGUGAAAUUGAACUCGCUGUGAAGAUGCAGUGUACCCGCGGCAAGACGGAAAGACCCCGUGAACCUUUACUAUAGCUUGACACUGAACCUUGAGCCUUGAUGUGUAGGAUAGGUGGGAGGCUUUGAAGCGUGGACGCCAGUCUGCGUGGAGCCGACCUUGAAAUACCACCCUUUAAUGUUUGAUGUUCUAACGUGGGCCCCUAAUCGGGGUUGCGGACAGUGUCUGGUGGGUAGUUUGACUGGGGCGGUCUCCUCCCAAAGCGUAACGGAGGAGCACGAAGGUUAGCUAAUCCUGGUCGGACAUCAGGAGGUUAGUGCAAAGGCAUAAGCUAGCUUGACUGCGAGAGUGACAGCUCGAGCAGGUGCGAAAGCAGGUCUUAGUGAUCCGGUGGUUCUGAAUGGAAGGGCCAUCGCUCAACGGAUAAAAGGUACUCCGGGGAUAACAGGCUGAUACCGCCCAAGAGUUCAUAUCGACGGCGGUGUUUGGCACCUCGAUGUCGGCUCAUCACAUCCUGGGGCUGAAGUAGGUCCCAAGGGUAUGGCUGUUCGCCAUUUAAAGUGGUACGCGAGCUGGGUUUAGAACGUCGUGAGACAGUUCGGUCCCUAUCUGCCGUGGGCGUUGGAAGAUUGAGAGGGGUUGCUCCUAGUACGAGAGGACCGGAGUGAACGCACCACUGGUGUACGGGUUGUGAUGCCAAUUGCAUUGCCCGGUAGCUAAGUGCGGAAGAGAUAACCGCUGAAAGCAUCUAAGCGGGAAACUUGCCUCGAGAUGAGUCUUCCCUGG
rnacentral:rRNA from 1 species